UGCAUUGCAUUACUCCUUAAAAAUUAUGUAUUAUUGAUGAGCUCAGAAGCAUGGAUGGGAAAUUACUGUUACUGAAAUGCUGCACAUGAUCUUACCAAACUAAUUUUGUAUUCUCUUUUUCAGUGCAGAAGAUGCUGUGUCAUGGUUUGUGUGUGAAAAAACAGUAGGAAUACACCACAGAACAUUUAUAUACAUUUAUCUGCUUGUAGCAAAGGGCUUUUGUUGGAUGUAAAGAGCUACUCCUUGCUGUUUGCCUUACUUUUCCGUGGGCAGAAACACAGAAGGGCUUCUAACAAUUUAAGAAAUUGCAUAAAGGAGGCGUUUUGGGAAGAGAGGUGGGUGAAGAGAACCAAAGCCACUACCAGAACAUGACCUAAAUCAGAACAAACAUUGGAAGAUGGCCAGAUAUUAAAAAAAGAAGGCUGGAUCUGACUCUGAAAGUAGUUUCUAUUAACCAGGAUGUUUCACAGUGCUGUAACAAGGACAAAGGAGACACAGUACAAGACCAAAUUAAGAUGUACUUAAUUAGUCUGUGUGACAGUCUUUGCAACUGGGAAAGGAAGAUUAAGAAUAAAGUCAUUGUCUUCAUGGAAAAGAGUGCCGAGGAUGUGGGAGCUGCGAAGGCAGAUGCUGAAGCCCUGCUGAAGUGUGGAUGGACACAGGUGUUUGUGCUGUGAGAGACUUGGUUCCUGUUCCUGGGGCCCAGCAAGCACUGGUGGCAGUGCUCACUCAGGCUGGCUCAUGGCAGCCUGUGCUCAGCUUACAUCAGAUUCUAGCCAGUCUUUUUGUUUUCUUGUGAGAUUUUUGUUGCAAAGUAUCUAAUUCUUUAAGAUGUUAGAGAUGGAAUCAUGAAAAUGAUAACGCGCUGGGCUUGCUACAGCUUCAACUUUCCAUCCUGAACUUCCUGACAUAGGUGAAUCCAACUUGCUCCAUUCCUCCCAGGCAAACAAAACUAUCUAUUUUUAGAAUGAUUUAAUCAAAAGAAGUUUUUGAAGAGGAAAGCUGAGAUGCAAAAAGGAAAUACAUCCUGCCCUGCAAAAUUUGGCUCCAGCCUGCCCACCACCAUGAGCUAAUAUUGUCCAGGUCUACAUUUGCAAGUGGUGCCAUGCAGUUGGAGCCAGUUUGCCUUUGGUGCCAAGAACCUGAUGUCCACACUGCAUGAGUUGUAGCACGGAAGCCCGUGAGGAAAGAUGAGAUGAGGAGGUUGAUUCUGCUGCCUCAUUCAGAUAAAGCAGGACUUGCUCUGAGCAAUGGAUGCAUUCAUUUUCAUGAGGUAGUGUAAAAAUGGACUACAAAGCAGGAUGGAAUCCAACCCUACAUCUUAGCAGUCAAACUCUGUUUAAACAACUGUCUGCACAAGGCUGUGUUGCCUUUGUGUUUGGGAUGGCUCUCAGUGGAAACCAGUAACACCAGUGUGUACCACCAAGGUGAGAACACAAAGCCAGAGGCCAUGGCACUUUUUACACAGACUUUACCUAAAACAGCCUUUUACAAGAUACCUGCAACAGAGAGGGUCAGGAAUUUUAAUGCCAGCUGAUUUGAGUCCUAGGAGAACAAAUAACUACACAGCAUUUUUGCCAGUGUAAUCUUUGGUCAUUAUUAUUGAUUGAAAUGAAGCUUAAAAGUGGGUUUCUUCUGAAGUCUUUUGAAAAAUGGUGGCUGUCAAUAUGCUUUUAAGGCUGAAACAUCUAUCAGCAGCCCUGUAAAGAUGGUGAAUUAGUUCUGCUGAAGUACGUGACACCUGUGAGAAGUCCUCAGUUUGUCUGAUGGGGAAUCAAAGGCAACUUUCAAAUUUUGGAUACAAAUGGAGGAGAAGAAUAACAAUUCUCUGUGAUGUGCCAAUUUAUGAGUAAUGAGUAAGUGCACUAUGCAGGUUAAAAGCACCUCUUUUUUGAGGAAGCAGCAAGGAAGAAAGUGUAAAAUUGUGUACUGAGGUCUGACCCCAAAAAUACUCAACUUUACAAAAAUUAUUCACCAAGAAGACCUGUAGAACUCAGAGAGAGUUUCCUGGGAAAAAACUGUAAGUGCUUGAGUGUAACUUCUUGAAUUUUGUAGGGUUGUGAUCUGACUAUUUAGUUAGGUUUUUUUCCUUUGAGUUGAUAUUUGAUGUCUGUCAAGUUGAAGGUCUUGCACAAGAAUGAAAGUUAUUUUACAAAAAAAUCAGGUGCUCCAGAAAUAAUUGAUUUCCAAGAGGAUGAUCAUGCUUAUGAAGUCUUGACAAGAAUAUUCUCAUUAAUUUCUAUUCUAGAAGGAAGCAGUACAUAUUUAAAUAAAUUUAAAACUCCCCCAAAACAACAAAAAAACAAGUGCAAAGAGUAAAGACAAGUAAUAUCUGGUAAUUAAUGCAGAUUAUUCUUUCUGAUUUUCUUAACAUUUUAUGUAGAGAUAAUCUGUGAAGUCCCUUGAAGCAGAACAAAAGCUUUAAAGAUAUUGUUAAGAUCUUAUUGAUAAUAUUCAUAAAUGUUAUCAGUGAGGAAGUAGAAAGCAGUUUUUCCUGAACUUUGCCUCAAUGAAUAAUUGUUGACAAAGGGCUCUUCAGGAUGAAAUGUCACAUCUUCUUUUUCCCGUGGCUUGUGAUAAAUUGUGCAAUCCAAAUGCUGGGGUCUCUAGUUUUUUACUAGGAAAGAAUUUAUUAUGUCUACAUGCCCAAAUGUUUUCAGUUCUCCGUAACUCUGAUGGCACAACAUGUAAUGGAAGUAAAGGAAAUCAAGGUAAUAUUUGUGUCUGCUAAUACAAACACAGCUGUACCACCUCUUACUAGUUAGGUAAAUACUCUGUCUUCAAAGUUCAGGACUGGAAGUAAAUAUCAAAGAUGACCAGUGUCAAAUGUGUUGUUUACAUUGGGCCCAGUGUUCAAUUUGUUUCCCACUCUAGUUUUCUGUGCUGCCAUUGACAAUUCCCACCUACAUAAAAGCAACUUAAACAGAUAAUUCUUUUGCCUCUACAGCUCAAUAAAAUAAAGUCAAAAGCAAUUUCCUUUCCUCUAAUACAUUUAUGUCUUUAAGAAAUGAAUUGCUGCAUAAAAUUGCUAAGCAGGGCUGUGAUUUUUUUGUCAUCCUUUUAGCCAACCUUUCUAGGGUGGAAAAAGAUUUUAAUUGUAGAUCAGGCCCUAUUGAAGAUUUUUCAAAUCUUGGAUUAAUUUAUUACAGUACAUAAAACAAAUGUAAUUUUGACUCAUCCUGUGUAUAAAUAGCUCUUCUAAUGUAUUAGAUUUUUUUCUCAAUUACUCAGAUUACUCAUAUGUUUCCUAGGUUAUCAACUGAUUUUUUAUAUAAAGAAGAGGGAAGAUUGAUUCUGACAUUUUCUCAGUUGUGUGCAAUGACACUUUUAAAAUCGUAACAGUCUCCUGCCAGCUACGGAUAUUGACUCAGGCAUGAGAUUUUCAGAAGACAUGCUUACUUUAGAGACUAGUUUGUCAUGUUUCCAUCUGUUGGAUAAAUAUCUUUUUGACUAAGUGUAAAACCUCAAAUACAUGUCAUCCCAGAUGCUCAAGAAAUUUUUCACCCGACUGCUGAAAGGAUGAGAUGCAAAACCCUUUCAGAACACCUGCCAAACGAGACUGCCCAAUCCUGUCCCAGGCACCUGGAACAGCCACCUGAGGUUUGGAACUUCAACAAUCCCAAUGUAGAAAACAGCAACCCAUCAGACAAAUCUUACUGCUGGGGAGUGUAUGAUUUCCCCAGCAGGUGGGAGAUGUAAAUCAGGAGCCUGGAGGGAACCAGGAGAUCUGAGAAUGGCAGAGGGUUGUCUGCUCAAGUGCGUGCCCUCUGCAGCCAGGUUCCUGGAAACCUGACCUUGGGUUAUUUUGGAUACUGGCUGAUAAGAGCCUUUUCCUUGUUGUCUGAGCACUGAGACUGAAGAAAUUUGCAUUCCUCCUUUUUGCAUUGUAUCCUACUGGCUGUACCAGGCAGGUGAGACUGAAAUCCCAUUGUGCAAGUUCCCUCGCUGGCACGCAGAGAUUUCUGUCCCUCACGGGGAGUAUUUGUUAGAUAGACCUUGGGAGGUGUUCCUUCAGGGUUCUAAGAACAGUAUGUUCACUGGUAAAUUCUAUUAUUUUGCCUUUCCCCCUUCACUGAGAUAAAAUAAUGCUCUGGUGGCACAGUCUCUGUAAUCCCUCUGUUGCUUCACUUCAAUAGAUGUGGAGGGAUCUGUUUUUUAAAUAGGAGUCUCUUCUGCAACACCAAUGUGCUUUUAUUGAUACUGGGGUUUUUCUUUCUUAAAAGUAUUCUACCUAUUGAUGGAUUUGCCUAGGAAAAAGCAAAAGCAGUUAAAGCAGGAAGGAAGCAAGAAUGACAGAAGAAUCACUUUAUACUGUUGACUUCUACAGAGCAGGUUUGAUGAGAGUGGAUAAAGACAAUUUCAUUUUUUUAUUCAGAAUUAGUUUUACUUAAUAUAGUCACCAGCAGACUUGGUGAUCCUAUUUCCCAUUUUAUAUGGUGUGAUUUUAACCAUGCACUUUUCCCUUUUUCUCUGUCAGAAUAACCUGAAAAGCAGAUUUAUUUUAUUUUGUACUUAAGUUUGAUUCUGACCAAGGCAGUGAACAGCUGUGGUCUUACUGUAAGUUGCUACUGUUAUUUUCCCUAUACUUUCCCAAUCUCUGCCUGCAGAACAGGAAUGUGGGACUGGAAGUGACUCAUUGGAUCACAGAAUCCACCUCUUUGCUGCAGCAUUCAUCACAUCUUAUAAACCCUCUUUAAAAACAUCCAAACUUAGUCUUGAAACUGCUUUGUCAUGCACCCUACCUGCUCUGAGAUACCCUACAUUGUUUAAAAAAUGUUGUUAAUGAACUUGAAAGGCCUCAGCUCUCCUCACUGCUGCUAAUUAAGCUUUUUUUCCCCCAAGAUAUACACAUGAAAAUAUGGUGUGUAUGUAUGUUUCUUUCCAGUUGCUCCUGCCAGAAUGCUGCUCUGGGACCCCACUGAUUAGAAACACAAUUAUUUUGCUCAGCCUUCAUGACUAAUUGAUCUGUGCUUGGAAGUGUCAUCCAGCUUGCAGAUUUGGUCAUGCAGUUUCUUUUGUUGUCAGAACUCUUCUGGGGAGGUUUUUUUCAAACAAGUUUGGGAUUGCUCACUGAGCUAUGGGAAUGCAGUAACUUAUUUUGUCAGUUUAUAUUACCUGAAGAAUGUAGGAAUAGGGUGGAAGAUCCAGGGUUGCUGAAUGACACUGUAGUAAGGGAAGAAAUGCCUGGGUUAUCUGAGAAUGAACAGACUGAGACUGAUUACAAAAGCUUUGUAAAUAGAAAUAUUUCAGGACAUCUCAGCUGUGUGUUUAAAGUCAGCCUCAGCUGUGUGUUUAAAUUACAGAAUUCUUCUCAUCCAUAGGGAGGAUUUAAGUUUAGAAUGCAUUGAAAAGUAGCGUUACUGUCUCUAUGAUAGUUUUACUAAAAUCAGUGAAAAAACAUACUUCAGGAAUGCUUCUAUGAUCACAGAAUAUUCUGAGUUGGAAGGGACCCAGAAGAAUCAUUGAGUCCAUCUCUUAGGUGGAUGUCCCAUACAAGGAUCAAACCCACAAUCUUGGUGUCAUUAACACCAUGCUCUGAGCUCAUCUCAGGGCUUUUAUGAAAGGAAGUAGCAUGACCCAAGCCUAUGUCUUCUGGCAGGAACAGGAAUGACAAAAAUCUCCUUAAAAUUUUCUUCUCCAGAUUUUUUUCUGCUCAUACACAGCUUCUGUUGUCUUCAGUGGUGAAUUUCUAACUAUGUACACUGUUAGCCAUGCCAUUAAAUUGUUCUUUUUGUUUUCAGUUCUUAUUUCCUGAACUGAUACCGAAACAUUCUGAAUUGAUUCCAAAAUUUAUAUAAUGAUACUAUAACUGAAGCAGAUUACUUUAUUUUUAGAUUUUAAAAUUAAUGUGUAAUGUGUAUCUUCAUCUGAUAUUCUAAGAAUAUCAGAAUUUACUAUCAGCCUCUGGCAAGGGAAAUUAAAUUGAUUUUAAGAUAAAUGCAACAAAAAAUCCAGAAAUACUUCUCUAGAACUCUAUUUUUUGAUUCACAUGCUAGUAAUCAUGGAGUUGUUCAUGAGAGGUUUUAUUGAUGAAGUAGGAUGCAGCCCUUUCAUAUAUUCCUUGGAAUUCUUUAUGCUUUCAGGUCACAUUUGCACAAAUUCCUGCUUUUGGUAGGGCUCUGGCAAAGGCAGUUUGAUCCCAGAGCAGAGGAGGGGGACAUUUAAUACUGUAAGUGGGGCUGUGUUCUUCCAAAAUUUGAAAAUGGCUGCUUAGGGCUUGGUAACUGAGGAAACCUCCUCUGAGUCCAGCCAUUCACCCCACUUUGUAUCAGAAUUGCUGAUCAUCUUAAUAAUCAUCUCUUGUAUCCUAAUGUCCAAUUUUGGACACGGCUUCUGCAUUCACUGAGUCUCUCCACAGUAUUAAAUAUCCUUGGCUGCAAGGGGCAGCAGCUGAAGAAGGAGGGGUUUUUGUGUGGGAAGGCUGCAGUGUCUGUUCAUAUAUUAUUCUGCCACAUGAUGUCCUCCUAAGCCAGGUUAGAAUUAUGGAAUGCAGGUACUCAAACUGUGCAAUUCUUCAGCAUUCAGGUAUGUAUUUAUGUAAAAGGUACCGUUCUUGUAGUAAACUAUUACUCCAAUCAGAAAUACCUAAUCUGUAAUGUGUUUCAGUUGCUUUGUAUGGUUUGUGAACAUUUCUCCUGAGGCUGAGUGUUAUUAAUACAGCCUCAUGAUCACCUGCAUUAAAACCCAAAGCUUAAGAAACUUCAGCAUUUUCAAUUUGUUCAGCUUAGUCUUACUGGCACUGCUCACUGCUUUGUAUAAGCAUUUUGUCCUAGUUGUGUAUUUUUUGCAUCAAGGCACAUUUUGAAUGCUGCACACAUUAUGAGAGUGUUGUAAUUAAUAUUCUGAAUCAAUUACUUUAAACAAAAUGUCUAGUACCUGUAUUUAGGGUACGACAGAAAUAAAGACUUAUGUACAGCAUCCUGUUUUUCCUUUGUGUCAUAUUACUUGUUUUAAAUAACUUUUCAUUUUCUGUCAAAAAUUAAUGUUCUUUAUAAUGCUG